rnacentral:ncRNA from 1 species
AAACAAGCGACGAUGAGAAGAGUACUUGUGCACAAGCAUAACAGAGAACUCCUGAUGGUGGGAAUGGAGAAUGUAACGGCGCAAGGAAACAAGUCUCUGAGCUGUACAAAGGAUCUUUCAUUUCAACUGAAAGUGAUGGUGUGCCGGGUUCUCCCGUUAUUGAGAUAGAGUAUAACCAUUCAUGUGAAUGGCGUACUUGAAAAGGUUGUUGUAGCGAUACAGCAGCAAACUGGGGUGGCACCGCGAAACUUCUAACAAUCCGAAGUCUCGCCCCCAAG